rnacentral:rRNA from 1 species
ACCUUCGGGCCUCUUGCCAUCGGAUGUGCCCAGAUGGGAUUAGCUAGUAGGUGGGGUAACGGCUCACCUAGGCGACGAUCCCUAGCUGGUCUGAGAGGAUGACCAGCCACACUGGAACUGAGACACGGUCCAGACUCCUACGGGAGGCAGCAGUGGGGAAUAUUGCACAAUGGGCGCAAGCCUGAUGCAGCCAUGCCGCGUGUAUGAAGAAGGCCUUCGGGUUGUAAAGUACUUUCAGCGGGGAGGAAGGGAGUAAAGUUAAUACCUUUGCUCAUUGACGUUACCCGCAGAAGAAGCACCGGCUAACUCCGUGCCAGCAGCCGCGGUAAUACGGAGGGUGCAAGCGUUAAUCGGAAUUACUGGGCGUAAAGCGCACGCAGGCGGUUUGUUAAGUCAGAUGUGAAAUCCCCGGGCUCAACCUGGGAACUGCAUCUGAUACUGGCAAGCUUGAGUCUCGUAGAGGGGGGUAGAAUUCCAGGUGUAGCGGUGAAAUGCGUAGAGAUCUG